rnacentral:misc_RNA from 1 species
CGCAAGUGAAAAUAAAGUUACACAGACAAAAAUGACUAAAAAGGCAGGGCACAAGAUCCAGAAAAACCACAUCCCAAACCAGAAGUGUCACGGUUCACACACUACCAACCUAGAUUAGCAGACAACUUAUAGGACUUUAAGACAAUGGACUAGAAACUAAGAUAGCAAAAGCAGCUUGAAAGAGUAAAGUUUGUAAUUUGACUACUCUCAAAGAAGAGACAGCAGUUAUUUUCACUCUCUUUCUGCAGGGGAUUGGAUGAGAAGCAGCAGUUGAAGUACAAACGGUCAUCUCUUGAUAUGGUUUCCCGUCGUCGUUGACCUUUGUCGUCCUAAUCUUCUUCAUAUGCUUUGAGAACAAGGGUAGCUAAUACAUAGCAGUGCCACCAAAAGUAAGUGGUAACUCUUUUGCACCAGACCAUGUAAGAAUGCCCCCUCGCAAACCUGUACUAAUUGUGAAUGUUGAAAAAUGUUUUGAAAUGUCAAUGCGAAGGCACAUCAAUAACCUUGUGUUUAUCUUCUACAAGAAAAUGCCAGCUGCAAACAGCUUAUUGUCAUGCAUGCAACAAGCUGGAUUCUUUCAAUUUCAUGGUUUUUGCAUGCAGCCUUUCCAUGAAUGCAGGAUUUGCUUUGAGUCUCUGCUUCACGUACGAGGUUCGAACAUCCUCUACAAUUUUGUUAGCUUUUCCAGCCUCUUCAAUAAGAGCAAAUAGAGUCCUCAGGCAGUCCUUCCUAUUCUCCUCGCGGUGUUCAAAUCUUUCACUAGUGAUGGUUAGCUCGUCUCUCCCAGGAUGGUAUCGUUUUCCAACCAAUUCUCUUAAGCGGCGAAAUUGAUGCUUUGACAUACCCAGCUCUUUCACUGUAACAGCCAAUUUGACUUUCCUGUUUUUUGGAUGCCAUGCAUCACCCCCAGGAGCAAAGACCACCCUUGUUAGCCAUCUAAGGACUGGGCCUUCACCUGGAGGGUCAUCCAAAUCCUUUUUGUCAUCUGGCAAGGUAGUCGCAUCAAACUGUGGAGCAUCCUUCUCCAUCAGUUUUGCACACUCCACGACCACCCCAUCCUCAAACUCCUUGAACAAUGCAUAGCCUUCUUCAGGGGUAAUCUCACCUUUUUCAACCCUUUCACCUAUCUCAUCAAACUUAACUUCUACCUUCUUUUUAAUUUCAUCAGGUAAAAUUUUAUCCCAGCUAAGCAUCUCCUGUAAAAUUUCCUCACACUCCCUUGUAUCCUUAAGAUGCCCAUGCUCAGUAGCCUCUUUUAUCAUAUCAUCCCACUUCCUGUCAUCCAUGUUGAAGAACUUAUCAGUCACCAUUUUCCUUUUCACAAUAUCUGUUGCGUCAUACAAAUCCUCAAUAUCUU